rnacentral:rRNA from 1 species
UGCCUUACACAUGCAAGUCGAACGGUAACGCGGGGCAACCUGGCGACGAGUGGCGAACGGGUGAGUAAUGCAUCGGAACGUGCCCAGUAGUGGGGGAUAGCCCGGCGAAAGCCGGAUUAAUACCGCAUACGACCUAAGGGUGAAAGCGGGGGACCGUAAGGCCUCGCGCUAUUGGUGCGGCCGAUGUCAGAUUAGGUAGUUGGUGGGGUAAAAGCCUACCAAGCCGACGAUCUGUAGCUGGUCUGAGAGGACGACCAGCCACACUGGGACUGAGACACGGCCCAGACUCCUACGGGAGGCAGCAGUGGGGAAUUUUGGACAAUGGGCGCAAGCCUGAUCCAGCAAUGCCGCGUGCGGGAAGAAGGCCUUCGGGUUGUAAACCGC